AAAAGCCACAUACUGCAACUUUUACCAAACUGGCCAACAUUUCUUAGGCUUGCGCACUUAACAUCCAUUAUAGAACAUUACCAAAAUAUCCACAAGGAUAUGACGUAAAUUACAGUCAGAGAUAUUAUACAAUAUUUCAAUCAGGUUUUAUUUUCAAUAGAAAUUUUAUAUUGCAUAAAGUCUGUGCAACCUUGUAUGAUAUGAUAAGAUAGUUAAAAAAACAAAGCAACAUCUGCAAGGAAGAUGGUGAACAAGGAGAUUUAAAACAUGAAUGAGUUCAAUCCCUAUGUCCCAUAUUGGUUAUAUGGGUGGGUGUACAUGGCCCUGGUCUCUCUUCCCCUAAUGGAGACCUUUUAGGGGGAAAGUUCUCCCCUAAGGUACUUAAUAGAAUGCAAUCAUUGUAAUCUUGAUGCUUAAAAACAAACCAAACAAGUGCACUUCUUUUUCUUCAGUUUCAGUUCCACAAAUUAUUCGCAUUAUACCUGAUAUUGGGCUUAUCAA
rnacentral:misc_RNA from 1 species